ACUGCAGUUCAGCAGCCUGCAGAAGAAUAUAGACGACAGGAGCGUGGAGAAAGACAUCCUGGCCCUGAAGAAAGAGAUCCAGGAGAGGGAUGACACCAUCCAGGAUAAGAUGGAGCAGGAGCUGGAUACCUUCCACAAGAAGAACGCUCAACAGGAACUGGACAUCGCUGAGCUGAAGCUCAAACUCACCACCACCGACAAGGAGAUGCACAAGGGACUGCAGAAGAGGAAACUGGCCAAAGACGGCGUGGUUCACCAUGCAGACAACGUCAAGAUCAUG